rnacentral:tRNA from 1 species
GAGGGAAUAACUCAGUGGCAGAGUGCGUGCUUAGCAUGCACAAGGUCUUGGGUUCAAUAUCCAGUACCUCUG